AGUUCUCGCUCCUUCACGCGGAGGUGGUAGGGGUGCGCUCUGCCGACUGCCGCUGCCGAGAUGCGAUGUGGGAAGUGCAGGCCCCGGUGCCACGGCACGCAGCCUAAAUACAAAUAAACCGUACCCUAAACUGCGCUCCCGAUUAUUUGAAAGAAACAGCAUUGUCAGACUUUGCCCUGAAAACGAUCGUUACCCUCUCACCGUGUGAGCAAUGACUUUGGCAGCGUAGCGGCGUUAAGGGAUGUGCGGCGGUCAGAAGAGCAGCAGAGCCCACAUGAGCGGUGACACAAAUUGGGAACUUUCAGGUUAAAAAGGCACUGGCACACACCAGUCAUCUGGUUAUUUAUAUCGUGUUCCUCUUUCGUCGCAACAUACCGAACCCGAGCGCUUUCCAUCUUACGUGAGCAGUCAGAAGUCACUGGGAAUGUACCGAAGGAGACGUGAAUUAUUUGGUACCGUGCCUUUUAACCAACUGUAAUUCAGGAGUUCUGUCAGGGAUACAUUCGCAGGAGACACUCUGGCUCUUCAGAUGCUUUUUAAAGCAGUUUAGAGGAAGCUGUGCGUUGCGUUGCUGAUGUGAGGCCUCACAGAACUCUGCAGCCCCCAACCACAAAACACCAAGCCAAGAAGUUCUCAUGCGCUUGCACUCCUCAUCUACGCAAUUUAACACUUCAUAUUAACUGGAAUAGUGUUGUCUUCUGUACCUCAGCUUCUCUUCGUAACAGCAAACAACAUAACGAUACGGCCUCCACAAAAGGAGCAAAAUGUACUUUGCUGUACAACUCUCCAGCAAAGACUUCUAUGUUGCUUAAUCCUUCUCGACCCUACCUUUAUGGCAAAAGUUGGUUUGAGUUAGCAUAUUCUUUUUGGUCUGCUUGAACUGCGUUGACACAACUGAGUAAUUACUUUUCAAAACAAUGCUGAGCUAAAUGGCAUAAUUUGAUGAGCAGUGAAGAUGUGACUGGAUCAAAACUGAUAAACUUAUAACUCAGUCUGUUCCAUCCUUACUGCCAGCAGUUGACCAUCAACAUUUUUAACACGAAGCAGGAUUCGAGUUCACUAACCACUUGACUACAGGCAUUUGUGCAUCUCUUCGUAAUGGAAUGAAGAUUCAUUUGCAGCAUCAGCGGGCACAUCCAUGAUAACUGGAUACUAAUAAGAGCAGUAGGACACAGUAGAAGAGCUCCAGCAAGGAUUUCAGCCAAGGCCCUAUUACGUAGCCUGGCUUGUGCCACCCUAACUUCACAGCUGCUCUUACCUUCUGGAGCUACAUUCAAGCAAAAGUCUGCUUUCCUCCAUUGCCUGCUGUGUUUUUACAAGCUCUUUGGGUGGGAUAAGCAGCAAACUCAGGAGUAGACAGCAGACCUUACUCUAGCCUGAUGUUUGUUGCAACUUAAUGAGUACGUACCUAAAAUAACACAGAGACAAAUCAUUCCUUGUGGUGUAAGCCUACAGCCUUCUUGGUGAAUUCCACUUGCAGCAUCAGACAUCAUCAGCAGGCAACGCGCAAGCCUGCGCCCAGCCCUCUACCUACCAAAUGAUCCACUGCAGAGGUGCUGAGGCUGCAACUGGGAACCACCUCCCACUGGUCUACAUGGUCCACAUGUGGUUUCAAUGCAACAUUGCGUGUAGGCUCUCUUACACAAGUUUGUUUCACCCACUGUCCUUAAAUAUAUUUUCCCUUACUUAACUAAGCAAAAUCUUUAUAGGAGAGACCUGAAGCCCCACAGCGCAGAGCCACAGAGAGCCUGAGGCGGUCUCCUACUAGAAAACUGUGGUAAUUAUGUAAAGAAGCACCUCCCAGGUGUCUGAUCCAGCACAUUCCUUGGUACUCCUGAAACUCAGUCUUGCGUAAGUCUUGAGUACGAGAGCCCUAAUACCCAGUUUUUCUCACUGGCACCUCUACUGGGAAGAGAUGGGUAUAGCAGUCAUCUCUGAAAAAAAAAUAAUUGCAAAGGCUGAGCAGCUGACCUGGAGGAAGGAAUGAUGGAUUUUGCCUUCUGUGGCUCACAAAAAAUAAUAAUAAUAAUAAUAAUAACAUAAAAUGGAAUACUUUUGGCAAUUACAUUUUAUGUGGGUGUUGUUUUCAUUUUGUUAAACCAAAAAAAUGACGGAUGUAAUAAAGAGUGUGGGAUUGCUUGCUCUUCAAUUUCAUUUCUUUCCUCCCUCCCUCCCUCCCUCCCUUCCUUCCUUCCUUCCUUCCUUUCUUCCUUUCUCUCUUUCUCUCUUUCUCUCUCUUUUUUUUUAAGUCCAUUAAAAUGUGUUUGGGCUUGAUGGAAAAUCUCAGAAUUUUAGCAGGAUUUCAAAAAGCAUUAAAUUCUAUACAUGUUCUACAUUUAGAAACAAGUAAUUAAAAU
ensembl:lncRNA